rnacentral:rRNA from 1 species
GAUAAACGCUAGCGGCAGGCUUAACACAUGCAAGUCGAGGGGCAGCAUAGAUUGUAGCAAUACAAUUGGUGGCGACCGGCGCACGGGUGCGUAACGCGUAUGCAACCUACCCGUCACAGGGGGAUAAUCCGGAGAAAUCUGGUCUAAUACCCCAUAACAUAUGGAUCGGCAUCGGUUCAUGUUGAAAUUUUCGGAGGUGACGGAUGGGCAUGCGUAGCAUCAGCUUGUUGGUGAGGUAACGGCUCACCAAGGCGACGAUGCUUAGGGGGACUGAGAGGUUUUCCCCCCACACUGGUACUGAGACACGGACCAGACUCCUACGGGAGGCAGCAGUGAGGAAUAUUGGUCAAUGGGCGCAAGCCUGAACCAGCCAUGCCGCGUGCAGGAUGACGGCUCUAUGAGUUGUAAACUGCUUUUGUACGAGGGUAAAGUGGGUUACGUGUAACCUUUUGGAGGUAUCGUACGAAUAAGGAUCGGCUAACUCCGUGCCAGCAGCCGCCGUAA